rnacentral:antisense_RNA from 1 species
AAUAACCAAAUACAAUACUUGGUCUAAGAGUCAGGUUGGUAAUUUUUCUUUCAUCUCAUCCACCCGGAGCCCAUUGUACACCCCUAAAAUAAAGAGCCUUGAAUACUAGAAGAAAAGCACUUAUUUAUGCCUAACAAGAUUGAGAACAUCUUUCAA